UAGGGAAUCUUCGGCAAUGGACGGAAGUCUGACCGAGCAACGCCGCGUGAGUGAAGAAGGUUUUCGGAUCGUAAAGCUCUGUUGUAAGAGAAGAACGAGUGUGAGAGUGGAAAGUUCACACUGUGACGGUAUCUUACCAGAAAGGGACGGCUAACUACGUGCCAGCAGCCGCGGUAAUACGUAGGUCCCGAGCGUUGUCCGGAUUUAUUGGGCGUAAAGCGAGCGCAGGCGGUUAGAUAAGUCUGAAGUUAAAGGCUGUGGCUUAACCAUAGUAGGCUUUGGAAACUGUUUAACUUGAGUGCAAGAGGGGAGAGUGGAAUUCCAUGUGUAGCGGUGAAAUGCGUAGAUAUAUGGAGGAACACCGGUGGCGAAAGCGGCUCUCUGGCUUGUAACUGACGCUGAGGCUCGAAAGCGUGGGGAGCAAACAGGAUUAGAUACCCUGGUAGUCCACGCUGUAGACGAUGAGUGCUAGGUGUUAGACCCUUUCCGGGGUUUAGUGCCGUAGCUAACGCAUUAAGCACUCCGCCUGGGGAGUACGACCGCAAGGUUG
rnacentral:rRNA from 1 species